GGCUCAGGAUGAACGCUGGCGGUAUGCCUAGCACAUGCAAGUCGAACGGAGUUCUUCGGAACUUAGUAGCGGACGGGUGAGUAACACGUGAGAACCUACCUUCAGAAUGGGGACAACAGUUGGAAACGACUGCUAAUACCCGAUGUGCCGAGAGGUGAAAGAUUUAUCGUCUGAAGAUGGGCUCGCGGCUGAUUAGCUAGUUGGUGUGGUAAGAGCGCACCAAGGCAACGAUCAGUAGCUGGUCUGAGAGGAUGAGCAGCCACACUGGAACUGAGAAACGGUCCAGACUCCUACGGGAGGCAGCAGUGGGGAAUUUUCCGCAAUGGGCGAAAGCCUGACGGAGCAAUACCGCGUGUGGGAGGAAGGCCCUUGGGUCGUAAACCACUUUUCUAGGGGAAGAAGAUCUGACGGUACCCUAGGAAUAAGCAUCGGCUAACUCCGUGCAGCAGCCGCUAAUACGGAGGAUGCAAGCGUUAUCCGGAAUCAUUGGGCAUAAAGCGUCCGUAGGUGGUCAAUCAAGUCUGCUGUCAAAGAAUGGAGCUUAACUCCAUAGAGGCGGUGGAAACUGGGAGACUAGAGUUCGGUAGGGGUAGCGGGAAUUCCCAGUGUAGCGGUGAAAUGCGUAGAUAUUGGGAAGAACAUCGGUGGCGAAAGCGCGCUACUGGGCCGAAACUGACACUGAGGGACGAAAGCUGGGGUAGCGAAAGGGAUUAGAUACCCCUGUAGUCCUAGCCGUAAACGAUGGAUACUAGGCGUAGUCUGUAUCGACCCGGACUGUGCCGAAGCUAACGCGUUAAGUAUCCCGCCUGGGGAGUACGCUCGCAAGAGUGGAACUCAAAGGAAUUGACGGGGGCCCGCACAAGCGGUGGAGUAUGUGGUUUAAUUCGAUGCAACGCGAAGAACCUUACCAAGGCUUGACAUGUCUGGAAGUCUGCCGAAAGGUGGAUGUGCCUUAGGGAACCAGAACACAGGUGGUGCAUGGCUGUCGUCAGCUCGUGUCGUGAGAUGUUGGGUUAAGUCCCGCAACGAGCGCAACCCUCGUUUUUAGUUGCCAUCAUUAAGUUGGGCACUCUAGAGAGACUGCCGGUGACAAACCGGAGGAAGGUGGGGAUGACGUCAAGUCAUCAUGCCCCUUACGUCUUGGGCUACACACGUACUACAAUGGUCGGGACAACGGGCAGCUAAUCCGCGAGGACAAGCGAAUCCCACCAAACCCGGCCUCAGUUCAGAUUGCAGGCUGCAACUCGCCUGCAUGAAGGAGGAAUCGCUAGUAAUCGCAGGUCAGCAUACUGCGGUGAAUUCGUUCCCGGGCCUUGUACAC
rnacentral:rRNA from 1 species